rnacentral:sRNA from 1 species
CUACGCCAAUUUGAUAAGUCUCGAGGGUCUCCGAACGAUAAAGCUUAAAAUUUACUUCCGAAAGAAAAAAAUGGCGGCGCCCACGAAUAAACAAGACAUUGGCAGUACCCCUAAAAAAGUGUACCCGCUAGGGAAUUCCUGUCUUGUAUGCGGCUUUUCAUUUAUACAGAAGUUAGUUGAUAGUGAUGGCAACACCACUAUCAAAAAGUAUUUAGACAAGAAGCUUCGCCUUUCCGUAGAACGACUGAAAAUCGUGAAGGAUGUGUGUAACAUUACAAACGACGUCAUAUUCACUAGUGAUACCGGUGUGUGCCAAAAGUGCUUCAGAAACAUUGAAAAGGUCCUUAAAAUUGAGAAGGAAGCAGCGACGCUCCGAGACUCUUUCAUGGCGACUGUCCAAGUUACGAUGCAAAGGUUAAGUGUCUGCGUGCCUUCCCCAUCUAAAUUUUUUAUGGAAAAGAGAGAGAUGAGGAGUCCAUUGAAGGAAAAUGUUCAGGUAAAGAGGGUCCGAACCAAUCAAACAGAUGAUCUGCUCUUAGUGCCCAUCAGACGGGUAACGCCUGUCAAGCUUGUUCCAAUUCAGCCUGCUCCUCAGAUGGUGGAUACAAGCUCCAGCUCUGUAAUUACAAGCAAAGCACGUCGUUGUCUUGGGGGUGACUUUAGCAAAAAGGUAUAUGUGCAUUACCCAAGUGGAAAGAAAACAGCCCUGAUUACUUCGGAAGUUCACAGAAGCAUUUGCCGAACAAUAGUGGGAGGAAACAAUGUUGAAAGGACCAUUGUUAACAACCUUUGCUCAUCUCACCCUGAGGAGGUUACAAAUGGGGCAGCGAAAAUGAUCAAUCAAGAGGCACUUGCUCUUUGUAAGAGGGGGUCGGGGUCCAUUCUCCAGAGUAAGGACUUUAAAGAUUUUUUUGAAUUUAAGUGGCAGCAAAUGAAGGAAGAACUCCAAAGAAGAUGCCCUACAAUUCUUUCUUUACUAUCAGCUGUAGUAAGUGACCAGGAGCUCUCCAGUGAUAGCAAAUCAGUCAUCCAUGUUAUGGAUAUUGAACGACUGUCAAAUAUUGGAUUAUGUGUACAUCCGAAGACCAUUCAUAGAAAAUUAGAAACUUGGAAGGAACUAGUAGAUUUGAAAGUGAAAGAAAUGAGGGAUUCCUGGGCUGAUAGUGGAAAUGUGAAAUAUCAAUUAGUCGGGGACAAUUGGGACAAGAACAUUUUGCCAUCUUACAGGACUUCAGAACGAGGAACACUGUCACUGCAUCUCUUCAACGUCAUUGCGGUUCAAGAUAGAGUUCCACCCUUAUCGGAUCUCCACAGAAUAGAGGAAAGAGAUGCCAAACAAAUCUGUGAAUUUAUACCGUCUGUUGCUGAGCAAAAACAAUUGAUGAGAGAAUUAGUGUUCAUAUUUGCAACUUCCAUUAUUGAGCACAAUCCUCAACUUCAAAGGGUGUACAGCUCUAUUUAUCCAAAGCAUUUGGAUCACCCUUACAGUCAUUUCUCUGGGCUAAAAACAUUCCAAUACCCUCUUGGACUGUUUGACUGUAAUGAAAACAAGACCCAAGAACUCAUUGCUCUUUUGAAGAAACUUUCCAAUGACUUCAUACCAUUCAAGAAUGGAAACAUUGUUGAGCCUGUGUUUUUUGGAGGGGACAGAUUAACAGACGAGAGAGUUCAAUCAGCUCAAAAAGCUAUGAAGAAUGCAGUAACAGCAAGAGAAAAAUUAGAAGGGUUUAUUUCCAAAAUAGAAGAUUUUCAUAGGCUGAUGAAUUUCUUAGAGGCAAUAGCCAAGCUGACUUUCAGCACAGAGAGUGGACAAGAUCCUGGGACUCUUUAUUUCUACAGAAAUCUGUUGAACCAUAGAGUUCCUACUAUUGUUGAUGCUAUUUUACCAAAACAUGUCCAAUGGAAAAUUAUUGAAGUAGUGAAAAUGGAGGGUGAGCAGACAGGCAACUGA